rnacentral:rRNA from 1 species
UGGGCAACCUGCCCCUCUCUCUGGGAUAACCCCGGAAAACCGGAGCUAAUACCGGAUACUCCGGCUGGAACGCAUGGUCCGGCCGGGAAAGGUCCGCCGGAGAGGGAUGGGCCCGCGGCCUAUCAGCUUGUUGGUGGGGUCAUGGCUCACCAAGGCGACGACGGGUAGCUGGUCUGAGAGGACGACCAGCCACACUGGAACUGAGAUACGGUCCAGACUCCUACGGGAGGCA